AUGCGCGCGCUUCGGCGGCAAGCUCAGAGGCCAGAAGGGGAGGCGGGAGAGGGCGGGCGAGGACUUCGGCGCAGCCGCAGUGAGCCGUCUCCUGGCCCGCUGGACAGCGGCUGUCUGGCUGUUGGCCAUGGUCCGGGAGCGGACUGGGACCCUGGACCCCCCAAGAGCGUGACUCCUCGAGGCGGAUCCUUCCAGGUCACCAGGUUGGAGCAAGCACCCACUCCAAGGACAGUCCCUAUUCUCUGGAUCCUUAAGCUCGGAAAACUGGAACUACAGAGCUUCGGCCUCCUCUCUGUGAAUUUCUCCAGUCCAGUUUUACUCAAGGAAGUCCAGCUUUUUCAUCAGGCAGUUUCCACCACGCAGUGUGGCCUGGGCGGGACUUCUGGAGCAGCUCAUGGUCUUUAUACUGAAACCUCUCUCAGGUGGGAGAAGCUAACAGCGGACGAUGGUAUGCUGCCCUCGAGCAUGCAGACCCCAGACCAGUUGGAACCUGAAGGCUGAUGGCGCUGACUCCCACUCACCUCACGACCAACCCCUCAGAAGCAUGUCCGCAAGCUGAUCACGCCCUCUUUGAACCAUUGCUGUAAAACUUCUCACUAUCCUAAGUGGGGACAUGUAGGUUUUCAAGGCAGAAGCCCACUGUGUCCCCCUUUGCCUGGCAAAGUAAUAAAGCUCUCCUUUUCUACUUCACC